CAACUCCCGAUCUGCAAGGAAGAUCUAGCCGACAUCCUUUGCUCUAUCCGUCGCCGGUUUGAAGCUCGUCAUUAUUGACGGUGUGAAUCUUCCUAAGCACGGUGUUGUUCUCACGAAAUCGAGCGGGAAAUUUCAUUUGUACUACUUAGCUUUCUGGUCCAAAUUCUUAAUAAUGGCGUCGAAUAUUGGUAUGAUGGAUAGUGCGCAUUUUGUGGGGAGAAAUAAACUUCUUGCGUGGAUUAAUUCCAGGCUUCAGCUUAAUUUGAAGAGCAAACUCUAAAAGAGCUACAUUUUUUUUCAUGAUAAGACCAUUGUUGAUGAGGACAUAUACGAGCCUUUUCCUAAGG